rnacentral:rRNA from 1 species
UACGGGGGGGGCAAGCGUUGUUCGGAAUUACUGGGCGUAAAGGGCUCGUAGGCGGCCAACUAAGUCGGACGUGAAAUCCCUCGGCUUAACCGGGGAACUGCGUCCGAUACUGGAUGGCUUGAGUUUGGGAGAGGGAUGCGGAAUUCCAGGUGUAGCGGUGAAAUGCGUAGAUAUCUGGAGGAACACCGGUGGCGAAGGCGGCAUCCUGGACCGAUAUUGACGCUGAGGCGCGAAAGCGUGGGGAGCGAACAGG